rfam:Rattus norvegicus chromosome 1, whole genome shotgun sequence.
GGGGAUUUAGCUCAGUGGUAGAGCGCUUGCCUAGCAAGUGCGAGGCCCUGGGUUCGGUCCCCAGCUCCG